rnacentral:lncRNA from 1 species
AUGUACUUGGCCCACAGGCCCCUGAUGUCUGCGUCCAGCGAGGCGUCCGGUGGCGUCAGCAUGUUUGUGUGGAGGAAUGUGGAACCUUGUUCUGUGGCUGUGUUCUCCUGGUACUCUGUCCCCUUCCUGACCCCUCCCUGCAGCCGCGUGAGGCCCAGCAACCUGCCAGUCACUCAGUGGCCUCCAACCAGAGCAAAGAACCUGCCAAGUUGGCAGCUGUUGCUCACGAGUGUCCACCAGGUGGGACAGGGAGUGCUGACCCUGGGCGGCCCCCUGAAGCCACCUGCCCUGAAAGCCCAGGGCCCAGAACCCCACACACUUUGGGGGUGGUGGAACCUGGUAAAAGCCCACCUCCUACCAUGGAGGAGGAGCCCUGGGCCCCUCAGGGGAGUCCCUGCUGGACAGUGAGACAGAGAAUGACCACAAUGUUGCUUUCCUCUCUGUCAUGUCUCCUGACACCCAGUUGCCUCCACCACUCAGAUGAUGUCAGGCCCAGUCCCUCAGUGCACUGCGCAAGGAACAGGACUCAUCUUCUGAGAAGGAUGGACGCAGCCCCAACAAAUGGGACAAGGACCAUAUCCGGUGGCCCAUGAGUGGCGUUCAUGAUCUUCAGCAAGCGGCACUAGGCCCUGGCAGGGCGCACCAGGGUCACCCCAACCAGGAUAACCGGACCGUCAGCCAGAUCCUGAGCGAGCGGUGGUACACCCUGGGGCCCAAUGAGAUGCAGAAGUACCAGACCUGGCCUUCCAGGUGAAGGUGGCCCACUUGCAACAAGGACCGAAAGAAGUCCAGCUCAGAGGCCAAGCCCACAAGCCAGGGGCUAGCAGGAGUGUACAAGGGCUCAUGGGAGCAGAGCAUAUCAGAGACGGGCACUGCCACUGCCCCUGGGGUGUCCUCUGAACGCCUGUCAGUUGUGGCCCAGACAUUCCAGAGCUCGGAUACCAAGGAGCAGCUUCUGUGGGGCAGGACGGCUGCACACAGUCAGGGAACCUGGCUCAGCCUGGCCCAAGCCUUCUCCCACAGCGGGGUACUCAGCCUGGACGGCAGGGAAAUAGACCGUCAGGCACUACAGGAACUGACACAGGUGGUGUCUGGCACUGCAUCAUACUCUGGCCCAAAGCCUUCUACUCAGCAUGGAGCUCCAGGCCACUUUGCAGCCCCUGGUGAGGGAGGUGACCAGUGGGCAGCCCUGCUGCUGCCCACCUGAGCUGCUCAUUCCCAGCACAUGGCCAGUGAGGACACAGCGAGUGACGAGGAGCCCAUGGUCAUCCAUGAGGAGGAGGGGGUGAUGAUGUCAUUGCUGAUGACGGCUUUAGCACCACUGACACUGAUCUCAAGUUCAAGGAGUGGGUGACCGACUGAGAGUGGGGACGACUCUGGGGAGGAGCCAGAGGGCAACAAGGGCUUUGGUGGGAAGGUAUUGGCACCUGUCAUUCCUUCUUCCUUUACUCCUGCCACCCCUUGCUCGAUCCUGAGCCCCCAGGGUCCCCCGAUCCACCUGCAGUUUUUGGCAAAGUCUAUGGUCCCACCCCGUCCUCCUCCUACACACUCCUAUGCUUCCUCCUCAACCUUGGCACCCACCUCCUUACUGGGCCCAGGAGCCUUCAAAGCCCAGGAAUCUGGUCAGGGCAGCAGAGCGGGCCCCCUAUGGCCCCUACCCCUGGGGAUGGGGGCCCAGGGAUGCCUUCCAAGGCGACCUGUUUCCUCCCAAUGGAUCCUGCCACCUUCUGGUGCAAGAGACCUGAAAGUGUGGGCGACCUGGAGCUACCAGGCCCCUCAGUCAUCACGGUCCCUCCCAACACUAAGGCUUUCCUAGGCAGGAGCUGGGCUGAGCCACCCGGGGGGCAGAGCCUGAAGAGGAGAAACUGACUGGGCUUUGGGGGUCGGGGCAGAGGGAACCCCACGGACAUGGAUCCCGCACUGGAGGACCCCACCACGCUCAAAUGCAAGAUGAGAAGAUGCUCCAGCUGCAGCCCAAAGCCCAACACCCCCAAGUGUGCCAUGUGUGAUGGGGACAGCUUCCCCUUUGCCUGUACAGGUGGGAGAAGCCGAGGACGGGCUCAGGGAACCGGAGACCGAGAAGGCGGUGUCCUCUUCACUGCACGUGCCCUGGACCAGUGCCGGCCCUGAUCAUGCAGCUCUUCCAGGCCCACUGCUUCUUCCUGUCCACUAGGCCACAGCCGCCCUCCAGGCCCACUAUGCACACAUCCUCCCCUCCAAGGUUUCUUCUGCCCCUGCCCUGACUCCCAGCCCUGUGGGGGUCCUGACCCCACCUCACCUGGCUAGACUCUGACGCUGCCCUGGCUGCCCCACCACUGCCUCUGCCCAAGAGUCACGUGAGGCUGAGAGUAGGGGCAGGGGCAGCAGUGGUGCCAGUUGGGGGGCGGUCCAGUGGGAGGAGCCUCAGCCUCGGGGGCUGCUCCGUGGGACUGAUGACUGCAUGAUCUUCUGGGCACCUCACGGAUCUUCAACUGCAGGUGAAACGGAUGCUGGUGGUGGGUGCAGGGCCGCUGGGAGCCGCUGCAUGGGUCCCAGAGGCUGGACUGCGGCAGGUGCCAACUGAAGCUGCUGGGGAAGCAUGAGCAGGAUGUUCUGCACACAAACCUUGGAGAAGACGUGUGCAUAGCGGGUCCACUGCUGCUGCCCCUGCCCUGACUCCCAGCCCUGUCUGACCCCACCUCACCCUGCUCAGGCUCUGGCGCAACCCUGGCUGCCCUGCCACUGCCUCUGCCCCAGAGGUGGGACCUUGACAGCCUGGCUGGAAGGGGACACCCUAGCCCUGCUUCAACACCUGGGUCCCUCCAUAACUACCACAGGC